rnacentral:tRNA from 1 species
AAAGAUGUAGUUUAUUUAAAACAUUAGAUUGUAAAUCUAAAGAAAUUGUCUUUG